UACGGAGGGUGCAAGCGUUAAUCGGAUUUACUGGGCGUAAAGCGUGCGUAGGCGGCUUGGUCAGUCAGAUGUGAAAGCCCCGGGCUUAACCUGGGAACUGCAUUUGAUACUGCCAAGCUAGAGUAUGUUAGAGGGAAGUGGAAUUUCUGGUGUAGCGGUGAAAUGCGUAGAGAUCAGAAAGAACACCAAUGGCGAAGGCAACUUCCUGGGACAAUACUGACGCUGAGGUACGAAAGCGUGGGGAGCAAACAGG
rnacentral:rRNA from 1 species